rnacentral:rRNA from 1 species
AGAUUGAACGCUGGCGGCAUGCCUAACACAUGCAAGUCGAACGGGAGUAGCAAUACUCUAGUGGCGGACGGGUGAGGAAUACGUAGGAAUUUGCCCUUAAGUGGGGGAUAACCCGGGGAAACCCGGAUUAAUACCGCAUGACCUCGAAAGAGCAAAGUGGGGGAUCGCAAGACCUCACGCUUUUGGAGAAGCCUACGUCGGAUUAGCUAGUUGGUGAGGUAAUGGCUCACCAAGGCGACGAUCCGUAACUGGUCUGAGAGGAUGAUCAGUCACACCGGAACUGAGGCCGACGGUCCGGACUCCGUACGGGAGGCAGCGAGUGGGGAAUAGUUGGAACAAGUGGGACGCAAGCCUGACUCCAGUCAAGUGCCGCGUGUGUAGAAGAAGGUCCGUUGGUUAGUAAGUACGUAACUUUAAGGUUAGGGAAA